AAUGGAGGAAACUCUGAUGCAGCGAUGCCGCGUGAGUGAAGAAGGCCUUUGGGUUGUAAGCUCUUUCGUCGGGGAAGAAAAUGACUGUACCCGAAUAAGAAGGUCCGGCUAACUUCGUGCCAGCAGCCGCGGUAAUACGAAGGGACCUAGCGUAGUUCGGAAUUACUGGGCUUAAAGAGUUCGUAGGUGGUUGAAAAAGUUGGUGGUGAAAUCCCAGAGCUUAACUCUGGAACUGCCAUCAAAACUUUUCAGCUAGAGUAUGAUAGAGGAAAGCAGAAUUUCUAGUGUAGAGGUGAAAUUCGUAGAUAUUAGAAAGAAUACCAAUUGCGAAGGCAGCUUUCUGGAUCAUUACUGACACUGAGGAACGAAAGCAUGGGUAGCGAAGAGGAUU
rnacentral:rRNA from 1 species